UGGAGCGGUGGCUGGGAGUGUUUUCUCGGCUCGUCUGCAGCUGCGGUGUGCGGCAGCCUCUUCGGGGGGCGUGCAGUCCCAGCUGGCCGCACCUGGAAGCCCUCUGGGCUCAGUGGGCACGGCUCCACACGGGCGGUCGUUUUAAGGCGAGGAGAACGCUUCUGUGACUACCCUGUGCGGGUUAAUUUUGGAAGUGAUGGUUAAGGAUCCUGGACAAUGAGUUCUCAGUCUGGAGAGUUAAAGGCACUUGAAUUCAGGAACACAGAUGAAGGUGAAACUGAAGAAAAUGAGUCUUUCCCCAAAGGAGAUAGAAGAUGGGGAGGAUGAGAUGUCAGAAGAUAAGGACAGUGGCAGUAGAGAUGAGGUUGUUGUCCUGCAGAAGAAUAGUAGGAAGAUCACUACUGCUCCAGGAAAUAAAAUAAGAAAAAAAAAGUUUCUCGGAGCUAUUUGCUGAGAAGUUAAUAUCACCACGCAGGAAGGGGCCAAGUUUCCAAAAGACAGGAGGAUUGCUAAGCUCGAGGACCGUGAGAAGAGGGCUGAGAACUCUGGGGAGGAUGAAGUCUUUCCCAGCAUUAUACCACAGCCUGGACCCGCUCCCAUGGCUCGGACCACAGAGAGUUCUGUGCUUUAUUUGAUGAGUUAGAUGCCCAACAUGGAAGCAUGUUCUGCUCCACGGGACUGAAGUGGCUGAGUCGUGGUGUAGUCCUAAGGCAGUUUUUGGAACUGGUGGAAGAAGUUGAGUUUUUCAUGUCCUCUGGAGGAGGAUCUGUGCCUCAGCUCACGAGCAGAGAUUGGGUCAGAGACUUCGCCUUUUGGUUGUCAUUAUGACACACCUAACCAUGCUGGCUAUUUCUCUAGAAAGGCAUGCACAGGUGCUGGCACAACUGUAUAAUUCAGCUGACUCAUUCCUGGUGAAAUUGUGUCUUUGGGAGACUCAUUUGGCACAGAACAACCUGGCCCACUUUCCUGUGCUGGAGUUAGUUUCCAAAAAUGAAAAUGAUGGCCUGCACUACGUCCCUCAAAUUAAAGAGUUGAAGACUAAAUUCCAAAAAAGGUUCUCCGAUUUCACACUUUAUGAGAAUGAACUGAUACUGCUCCGUUCCCCUUUCUCAAUUAGGACUCAUAAUGUGAAUGAAGAGCUACAAAUGGAAGUUAGUGAACUGCAGUGCAAUACUACACUGAAAGCCAAAUACCACAAUGUUGAGAUUCCUGAAUUCUACAGACAUCUUGGGAAUGGUUACCCUAAAUAUAAACACCAUUGUGCAGAGAUUCUGUCCAUGUUUGGAAGUAGUUAUGUUUGUAAGCAGCUAUUCUCUGCUGUGAAACUAAAGAAAACCUAAAUGUGGCUCCCAGUUAAAAGAUUCAAGGAUGAAUUCUCUGCUGUGUGUUGCAAUGCAAGGUCCACAGCCUGAUGUUGACUGACAUCUUGUGGAGUAAGAAA